UGAGUGUCACACAGAUUCGUCCUGGGCGUGGAGGCUGCCGGCUGCCCUCCGCUCUGCUGCUGUCCCCAAGCCCGCGGGGUCUCUUCCAGGCUCCGCCUCCGGCCCCAGGGACCUGAGCUGCUACCGGGUGGCCAGCGCCCUGUACGAGUGCUCCUGGCGCCUCGGCCCCGCGCGCUGCUGCUCCUUCGCCGCCGGCGCCGCCACCAGGCUGCGGUUCUCCGACCAGGACGGGCUGCCCGUGCUCUCCCCGGUCGCGCUCUGGGUGGAGUCCCGCGCCGCCAACCGCACCGAGAAGUCGCCCGAGAUCGCCCUGCGGCUGCACAGCUCCGUUAAAUACGACCCUCCCCUGGGAGACAUCAAGGCGUCCAGGUGGGCCGGGCAGCUGCGGCUGGAGUGGGAGCCCCCGGCGCGGCAGGGCGGCGCCCAGGUGCAGUUCCGGCGCCGGGCGCCCCGCGGCCCGUGGAAGCUGGUGAGCCCAUCUCCCAGGUCAGGGUGGGCCCAGCGCUCUCCGGGGUGACCCCUCUAGAUCAGUCUCGCCAUUGCCGCAGCCGUCACCCCUCCCGACCAGCUGUCACCGAUUUUCCCGUGAAUGUCCCUUUUCUGUUCCUGGAUCCGGCCUAGGGAUCCCACAUGCGUAUUUCGUAAAAUCAUUUCUAAAAUUCUAGAACAGCCGACAUUCCCAGCACCGAAACGCGGAAUAACACGUAAAACACGGUUUCGUUCCAGGGCGACUGCGGCCCCCAAGUUGAAAAGGGUGAGGAUAAUCAUAGCGCCGACAGGAACAACAGCAACGGCUGCGGCGAGUUAGCAUUGUCCAGUGGCUUGGACGGCUAGAACUGGGUCCAGAAACGAGAGCCCUUCCUUCCCCCUGGACCCG
rnacentral:lncRNA from 1 species